GGUCAAGUAAGUAAGAGUCUACGGUGGAUGCCUUGGAGCCACCUGGCGAAGAAGGCCGUGGUAAGCUGCGAAAAGCAACGGGGAGGAGCACACAUCCUGUGAUCCGUUGAUUGCCGAAUGGGGUAACCCGGCUGGCGUGAUGGCCAGUCAUCUGUACCUGAAUAAAAUAGGGUAUGGAGGCGAGACCCGGGGAACUGAACCAUCUCAGUACCCGGAGGAAUAGAAAUCAAACGAGAUUCCCGAAGUAGCGGCGAGCGAACCGGGAAGAGCCCAAACCGUUUAAGACGGGGUUGUAGGGCGCGUCAUAGUGGAGUCAAAAACUGUAUUGGUAGUGGAACGCUACUGGGAAGGGCGACCAGAGAAGGUGACAGUCCUGUACACGAAACCGAUACAACUUCCGAUGCGUACCUGAGUAGGACGGCACACGUGAAACGCUGUCUGAAUCUGGGGGGACCACCCUCCAAGGCUAAAUACGUGGUGGCUACCGAUAGAGAAUAGUACCGUGAGGGAAAGGUGAAAAGAACCCCGGUGAGGGGAGUGAAAAAGAACCUGAAACCGUAGACUUACAAGCGGUCGGAGCCUGUUUUCGGACGGGUGACGGCGUGCCUUUUGUAGAAUGAGCCUGCGAGUUACCGUGUGAAGCGAGGUUAAGGGAUAGGAGUCCCGAAGCCGAAGGGAAACCGAGUCUGAAAAGGGCGAAUAGUUUCAUGCGGUAGACCCGAAGCCGGGUGAUCUAUCCAUGGCCAGGUUGAAGCGUCGGUAAAACGACGUGGAGGACCGAACCCUAGUCUGUUAAAAAAGGCAGGGAUGAGCUGUGGAUCGGAGUGAAAGGCUAAUCAAACCCGGAGAUAGCUGGUUUUCGCCGAAAUAGCUUUAGGGCUAGCGUAUAUGGAGUCUUGCGGAGGUAGAGCACUGGUUGGACUAGGGCCCUUCACCGGGUACCAAACCCAGAUAAACUCCGAAUGCCGUAAGAUGCUCAUAUGCAGUCAGACUGCGGGUGACAAGAUUCGUAGUCGAGAGGGAAAGAGCCCAGACCGAUAGCUAAGGUCCCAAAACAUGACUGAGUGGAAAAGGAAGUAUGAUGGCAAAGACAGCCAGGAGGUUGGCUUAGAAGCAGCCAUCCCUCGAACGAGUGCGUAAUAGCUCACUGGUCGAGUCGUCAUGCGCCGACAAUGUAACGGGGCUACGUCAUGUACCGAAGCUGCGGCUUGAUAGAUACGCGAGUAUGUAUCAGGGGUAGGCGAACAUUCUGGAGGCCGAAGAAGGUGAGCUGUGAGGCGAGCUGGAGGUAACAGAAGAGAGAAUGCAGGCAUGAGUAACGAAAAGAGGGGUGAGAGUCCCCUCCGCCGAAAACCGAAGGUUUCCUGGGUAAAGGUCGUCUUCCCAGGGUUAGUCGGCCCCUAAGGCGAGGCCGAAAGGCGUAGUCGAUGGGAAACGGGUUCAUAUUCCCGUACCUCUGUAUGGGUUCGAGUGGGGUGACGCAUGAGGCGAAGCCUGUCCAGGCGACGGUAGACCUGGAGCAAGCACCAAGCUUAUGAGACUGAUAGGCAAAUCCGUCAGUUGAGGUAAGGUGUGACGCCGAGAGAAGCUACGGCGGAUCGAAGCAGGUGGAGUCAAGGUGACAAGAAAGAACCUCUCAGGUAGACCAUACAGAGACCGUACCGCAAACCAACACAGGUCGGUAGGAUGAGUAUUCUCAGGCGCGCGGGAGAACUCGCGUUAAGGAACUCGGCAAAAUACAUACGUAACUUCGGGAUAAGUAUGGCCUUCGAGGGAUAGCAAUAUUUCGAGGAGGUUGCAGAGAAGAGGCUCAGGCGACUGUUUACCAAAAACAUAGGUCUGUGCGAAUCAGUAAUGAGACGUAUACGGACUGACACCUGCCCGGUGCUGGAAGGUUAAGAGGAGCGGUUAGUUUUCGGACGAAGCUGCGAAUUGAAGCCCCAGUAAACGGCGGCCGUAACUAUAACGGUCCUAAGGUAGCGAAAUUCCUUGUCGGGUAAGUUCCGACCCGCACGAAUGGUGUAACGAUCUGAGCGCUGUCUCAACGCGAGACCCGGUGAAAUUGGAGUAUCGGUGAAGAUACCGAUUACCCGUGGUUAGACGGAAAGACCCCGUGAACCUUUACUGCAGCUUGGCACUGAAACUUUGCCCGUCAUGUGUAGGAUAGGAGGGAGACUGUGAAGCCUGUACGCUAGUAUGGGUGGAGUCGUUGGUGAAAUACCUCCCUUGGCUGGUUAGGUUUCUCACACCGAUCCGUGAAACCGGAGGGUGGACAGUGUCAGGUGGGCGGUUUGACUGGGGCGGUCGCCUCCUAAAGAGUAACGGAGGCGCGCGAAGGUUCCCUUGCGCUGGGUGGAAAUCAGCGUGUAUGUGCAAAGGCAAAAGGGAGCUUGACUGCGAGACAUACAAGUCGAGCAGGUGCGAAAGCAGGUCUUAGUGAUCUGGCGGUGGCGAGUGGAAGCGCCGUCACUUAACGGACAAAAGGUACUCCGGGGAUAACAGGCUGAUUUUGCCCAAGAGUUCAUAUCGACGGCAAAGUUUGGCACCUCGAUGUCGGCUCAUCGCAUCCUGGGGCUGGAGCAGGUCCCAAGGGUAUGGCUGUUCGCCAUUUAAAGCGGUACGUGAGCUGGGUUCAGAACGUCGCGAGACAGUUCGGUCCCUAUCUGCCACGGGCGUUGGAUGAUUGAGAGGAUCUGCCUUUAGUACGAGAGGACCGAGGUGGACAAACCUCUAGUGUACCAGUUAUCGUGCCAACGGUAAGUGCUGGGUAGCUACGUUUGGAAGGGAUAACCGCUGAAAGCAUCUAAGUGGGAAGCCCACCUCAAGAUGAGUCAUCCCGUCUCCCUCGAGGAGACUGAAGAGACCAGAGAGACUAUCUGGUUGAUAGGCUGGAGGUCUAAGCAUGGUAACAUGUUGAGCCGACCAGUACUAAUUUCUCGUGAGGCUUGACCAU
rfam:Spirochaeta americana strain ASpG1 genome assembly, contig: Ga0071122_139